rnacentral:rRNA from 1 species
CCUACGGGAGGCAGCAGUGAGGAAUAUUGGUCAAUGGGCGUAAGCCUGAACCAGCCAAGUCGCGUGAGGGAUGAAGGUUCUAUGGAUCGUAAACCUCUUUUAUAAGGGAAUAAAGUGUGGGACGUGUCCUGUGUUGUAUGUACCUUAUGAAUAAGGAUCGGCUAACUCCGUGCCAGCAGCCGCGGUAAUACGGAGGAUCCGAGCGUUAUCCGGAUUUAUUGGGUUUAAAGGGUGCGUAGGCGGGCUUUUAAGUCAGCGGUGAAAGGCUGGGGCUCAACCAUAGGAUUGCCGUUGACACUGGGAGUCUUGAGUGUGAGUGAGGGAGGCGGAAUGCGUGGUGUAGCGGUGAAAUGCUUAGAUAUCACGCAGAACCCCGAUUGCGAAGGCAGCAUGCC